GGAGAACACAUUCAUUCUGUAAUCAAUCAUUCAGAACCAGCACUCCUGAAAGUCUAACAACUAAAGCCAAUAUUAUGGUAACGUUAUGUUGUUAGCGUGUCAGUAAACGUGAGGUCAUCUUAUCAAUAUUUCCAGAAGUGUCGUCUGAAAACAACUGCCUGGGAGCGUUGCCAUGAUGGUCACCAAGUGGACAGAAUUUACUAGAAGGACUUUGACCUUAGAGGACAUGACCCUGUCAACUCCUCUUUAUCGUCACCUUCCAGAUGUGCAGGAGUCACAAAGAGACAAAAUACUUGUCAUGCCUCAAUCCAGGUGAUCCUUUAUGGAUUUAUGGUCUGAAAAUGCCUUUCAUCUGCAAUAGCUCAA
ensembl:lncRNA